rnacentral:rRNA from 1 species
AUUGAACGCUGGCGGCAUGCCUUACACAUGCAAGUCGAACGGUAACGGGUCCUUCGGGAUGCCGACGAGUGGCGAACGGGUGAGUAAUAUAUCGGAACGUGCCCAGUAGUGGGGGAUAACUGCUCGAAAGAGCAGCUAAUACCGCAUACGACCUGAGGGUGAAAGGGGGGGAUCGCAAGACCUCUCGCUAUUGGAGCGGCCAAUAUCAGAUUAGCUAGUUGGUGGGGUAAAGGCCUACCAAGGCAACGAUCUGUAGUUGGUCUGAGAGGACGACCAGCCACACUGGGACUGAGACACGGCCCAGACUCCUACGGGAGGCAGCAGUGGGGAAUUUUGGACAAUGGGCGCAAGCCUGAUCCAGCAAUGCCGCGUGCAGGAAGAAGGCCUUCGGGUUGUAAACUGCUUUUGUCAGGGAAGAAAUCUUCUGGGCUAAUACCCCGGGAGGAUGACGGUACCUGAAGAAUAAGCACCGGCUAACUACGUG